rnacentral:rRNA from 1 species
CGGGACGGGUGAGUAACGCGUGGGUAACCUGCCUCAUACAGGGGAGUAACAGUUAGAAAUGGCUGCUAAUACCGCAUAAGCGCACAGGACCGCAUGGUCUGGUGUGAAAAACUCCGGUGGUAUGAGAUGGACCCGCGUCUGAUUAGCUAGUUGGAGGGGUAACGGCCCACCAAGGCAACGAUCAGUAGCCGGCCUGAGAGGGUGAACGGCCACAUUGGGACUGAGACACGGCCCAG